GGGCAGGCGGCUGAGGCUGAAGGCUGGAGGCUGAGGGCAAGAGGCUGAGGCUGAAGGGGUCCUGAGGCCGUGGGCAAUGGUCAAAGCCCCAGGAGGAGGCUGCCAGGUGGGCUGAGUGCCAGCAGAGUGCAGGAGGUGGGCUCAGAACUAAGGGAAGGAGCUGGGAUGAUGCCAGGGCUCUGCUCUCUGAAGGUGCCAGAGGCUGACAUGUCAGGCUGUGCCUGGGCAGAAACCAUUGAAAUCCUCUCUCAGCAUCACAUCUCAUCUCCCCUGAACAGCUCCAGAACACCUGGUGGUCCAGGACGGUAUAUAAAACCAUCCAUGAUUCAGACACCUUCCAGCAGGUUCUCGUGACUUCUCCUCGGUGAACAGAGUCUACAGCACGGCUAAACGAUGUCUUGUGAGAAAACCCUGUGCACGGACCCAUGUGCUGCUGUAGGCAACGUGAAAUGCCCUGAGCCCUGCGCUGCUGCCUGCAGUGAGCCCUCUGUCAUCGCCUGCCCUGACUCCCGUGUCAUCAUCUUCCCACCACCUGUGGUCGUCACCAUCCCAGGGCCCAUCCUCACCACCUACCCACAAGAGACCAUCGUGGGCUCCACGGAGUCAGCUGAGCUGGCCAGUGUUCUGGAGUCGGGUGUAGCCAUCGGCUCAGCACAGAAGGGGGCUGAAUGCGCACUGCCCUGUGCUGAGCCCUGUGCCACAAAGCUGGUCACAAAGUGCGAGGCCCCGUGUGUGGCACCAUGUCCACCCCCGUGUCCACCCCCGUGUCCAGCUCCGUGUCCAGCUCCGUGUCCAGCACCGUGUGUGCCCCAGUGUGUGCCCCAGUGUGUGCCCCAGUGUGAGCCCCAGUGCGUGCCUCAGUGUGUGCCGGAGCGCUCCUACACUUAUUCCACCCAAUGGAAGCACCCUUGCCAGAGAGGCUUCUGCAAGAAGCUCUAAUCAGCCUACAGCAGAGAAUAAUCACAGAAGAACAGCAAGCAAAGGAGUGAACGGAUAUGGAUCGUCAUUUACAGGCAUGGCUUUCAAGGUUCUUCCUACUGCAGAGGGAAGCACCCCAAAAUCAGGACCUUGCUUCUAAUUCCUGUAUAGUGCUUUAGCUUAGAUUAAUGCUUUCUUUAUUCUUGUGGCUUUGCAUCUUACAUCUGUGCUUUUAACUUCCUCUACACAGUUUGACUUUGUGAUUUAAACAAACAAAAAAGCAUACCUAGAGAUUUGAAUGUCACACUCAGCAAAAAUGAGGAAAAAGAAAAUCCUGAUGAAAUGCACCACACUGAAAUGGGUAACUGGUUCUAGCUUUCCUUGUUUCUAGAAAUAUACGCUUUUCUAGACUGCAUUAUUCUUUCUGCAAAUGUUUACUCCACUCUGCAUUCACAUUAAAAGGCUGCUGCAUCAAACCAUUGGCCUUCUGAAACUCCUUUUUCCUCUGCUACUCAUUUGCAAUGCUCUCUUGGAGGUAUUCUGUCAUAUAGAGGAACAGAAGCUGUCCUCGACCCUCUUCCCAGUCCAGUCACAACUUGAUGCCCAGGGGAAAUUAAGGGUUUGGUUCUGCUGUAAAAAAAUGGGAUACCUUCUGUUCAGUCUAGGUUGCAGCCUGAAAACCAGUGAGCAGAAGUUUUAGUCGUAGGGAAACAUGGAUCUGUGUUUUCUAAGGUAUAUGCCUCGAGAUUAUAGAAAUAUGUGUAUUUUUUAAAAUGUUAUGUUUUAGUGUGUAUCCAGUCCUAUAUUGAAGCCUUCUGACAGGUUGAAGUUCUUCAUAUUUCUGCAUUAAAACUUUUCCAGCCUGCUUUUGGGAAAAAAAAAAAAAAAAAAACAACCACCAGAACCUUCACUCAUGAAUAAUAGCAGUCACCCGGAGACCUGAAGCACCAGUUCCUUACUUCUGUGUUUGCCCAGCUGGUGCCAGCGAUGAGUCCCUCCAGGCAGACGCUACUUGGGAAGUCAGCUGUGUCCUGCUCAUGCCAAGCAACUUCACACGCUGUUUUUAUUCUAACGAUUAUUUUGAUUUCCUUCUUCUCUAAUGGCUACAUACGUGUGCUGGCUUAUUUAAAGCACAGCCUCUUUGUGCCUAGGAAAUACUACGUCAUUCUGGCAAUUAUACCCACCCAGAAACAUCCUAACAUUUCCGCAGAACAAAGGGCCGCCGGGGUGCCUCACCAGCACCUUCCAAGGUGUUACACAUGUAACAUGGUAUGUUAAUACAGUGUUAAUAGUAUAUUACUUGGGUUACAUUCCUCAAGACUCUGUAAUAACUCCGAUCUGGAAAGAAAAAAAAAAAAAAAAAAAAGGUCAUGAUUUCACAUACAUUUACCUCCAUAUUUACUCAGGAUAAUUUCUUUUAGUAAACUGAUGAUUUUCAAGAUCAA
ensembl:lncRNA